rnacentral:rRNA from 1 species
AUUGAACGCUGGCGGCAGGCUUAACACAUGCAAGUCGAGCGGUAGCACAGGGGAGCUUGCUCCCUGGGUGACGAGCGGCGGACGGGUGAGUAAUGUCUGGGAAACUGCCUGAUGGAGGGGGAUAACUACUGGAAACGGUAUCUAAUACCGCAUAACGUCGCAAGACCAAAGAGGGGGACCUUCGGGCCUCUUGCCAUCAGAUGUUCCCAGAUGGGAUUAGCUAGUAGGUGGGGUAAUGGCUCACCUAGGCGACGAUCCCUAGCUGGUCUGAGAGGAUGACCAGCCACACUGGAACUGAGACACGGUCCAGACUCCUACGGGAGGCAGCAGUGGGGAAUAUUGCACAAUGGGCGCAAGCCUGAUGCAGCCAUGCCGCGUGUGUGAAGAAGGCCUUCGGGUUGUAAAGCACUUUCAGCGAGGAGGAAGGUGGUGAGCUUAAUACGUUCAUCAAUUGACGUUACUCGCAGAAGAAGCACCGGCUAACUCCGUG